AUCGCUUCUCGGCCUUUUGGCUAAGAUCAAGUGUAGUAUCUGUUCUUAUCAGAUUAAAAAUGAAUUGGCAAACCCCAGAAAGCUCUUAGAUAUUAAAAUAUCAAAUGAAAAACUUAUUUAGAAGAAUU
rnacentral:snRNA from 1 species